rnacentral:rRNA from 1 species
CCCGCGGCCUAUCAGCUUGUUGGUGGGGUAAUGGCCUACCAAGGCGACGACGGGUAGCCGACCUGAGAGGGUGAUCGGCCACACUGGGACUGAGACACGGCCCAGACUCCUACGGGAGGCAGCAGUGGGGAAUAUUGCACAAUGGGCGCAAGCCUGAUGCAGCGACGCCGCGUGAGGGAUGACGGCCUUCGGGUUGUAAACCUCUUUCACCAGGGACGAAGCGCAAGUGACGGUACCUGGAGAAGAAGCACCGGCCAACUACGUGCCAGCAGCCGCGGUAAUACGUAGGGUGCGAGCGUUGUCCGGAAUUACUGGGCGUAAAGAGCUCGUAGGCGGUUUGUCGCGUCGUCUGUGAAAUUCUGCAACUCAAUUGUAGGCGUGCAGGCGAUACGGGCAGACUUGAGUACUACA